GUUGACCUCGGAUCAGGUAGGGCUACCCGCUGAACUUAAGCAUAUCAAUAAGCGGAGGAAAAGAAACCAACGGGGAUUGCCCCAGUAACGGCGAGUGAAGCGGCAACAGCUCAAAUUUGAAAUCUGGCCCCCCCCCGCGGGGGACAGCUCAAUUUGAAUCUGGCCCCCCCCCGCGGGGGUGCCCGAGUUGUAAUUUGCAGAGGAGGCCUCUGGCGCGGCGCCUUCCGAGUUCCCUGGAACGGGACGCCAUAGAGGGUGAGAGCCCCGUGUGGUCGGCCGCCAAGCCUCUGUGAGGCUCCUUCGACGAGUCGAGUAGUUUGGGAAUGCUGCUCAAAACGGGAGGUAUAUGUCUUCUAAAGCUAAACACCGGCCAGAGACCGAUAGCGCACAAGUAGAGUGAUCGAAAGAUGAAAAGCACUUUGAAAAGAGGGUUAAACAGUACGUGAAAUUGUUGAAAGGGAAGCGCCCGCGACCAGACUUCGGGCCCGGCGGAUCACCCGGCGUUCCUCGCCGGUGCACUCCGCCGGCGCCCGGGCCAGCAUCGGCUCGCCCGCGGGGGAUAAAAGGCGGCGGGAACGUGGCCCCUCCGGGGGUGUUAUAGCCCGCCGCGCAAGGCCCCGCGCCGCGGGCCGAGGACCGCGCCCCAGGCAAGGAUGCUGGCGUAAUGGUCGCCGGCGACCCGUCUUGAAACACGGACCAAGGAGUCGUCUUCGUAUGCGAGUGUUCGGGCGUCAAACCCCUACGCGCAAUGAAAGUGAACGCUGGUGAGAGCCCUCGCGGGCGCAUCACCGACCGAUCCUGAUGUUCUCGGAUGGAUUUGAGUAAGAGCAUACGGGGCCGGACCCGAAAGAAGGUGAACUAUGCCUGUGUAGGGUGAAGCCAGAGGAAACUCUGGCGGAGGCUCGCAGCGGUUCUGACGUGCAAAUCGAUCGUCAAACAUGGGCAUGGGGGCGAAAGACUAAUCGAACCUUCUAGUAG
rnacentral:rRNA from 1 species